GACGAACGCUGGCGGCGUGCUUAACACAUGCAAGUCGAACGAAGUGGCGAACGGGUGAGUAACGCGUAAUCAACCUGCCCUUCAGAGGGGGACAACAGUUGGAAACGACUGCUAAUACCUCAUACUUAAGGAGGGAGUUGCGUCUGAUUAGCUAGUUGGCGGGGUAACGGCCCACCAAGGCGAUGAUCAGUAGCCGGGCUUGGAGGAUGAACGGGCACCAUGGGACGUGGACACGGCCCAGACUCCUACGGGAGGCAGCAGUGGGGAAACUUCCGAAAUGGACGAAAGGCUGACGGAGCAACGCCGGGUGAGUGAUGACGGGCUUCGGGUUGGAAAGCUCUGUUAAGCGGGAAGCGGUACCGGAAUAGAAAGCCACGGCUAACUACGUGCCAGCAGCCGCGGUAAUUC
rnacentral:rRNA from 1 species